rnacentral:rRNA from 1 species
GAUGAACGCUGGCGGCGUGCCUAAUACAUGCAAGUCGAGCGAACAGACGAGGAGCUUGCUCCUCUGACGUUAGCGGCGGACGGGUGAGUAACACGUGGAUAACCUACCUAUAAGACUGGGAUAACUUCGGGAAACCGGAGCUAAUACCGGAUAAUAUAUUGAACCGCAUGGUUCAAUGGUGAAAGACGGUUUUGCUGUCACUUAUAGAUGGAUCCGCGCCGCAUUAGCUAGUUGGUAAGGUAACGGCUUACCAAGGCAACGAUGCGUAGCCGACCUGAGAGGGUGAUCGGCCACACUGGAACGGAGACACGGUCCAGACUCCUACGGGAGGCAGCAGUAGGGAAUCUUCCGCAAUGGGCGAAAGCCUGACGGAGCAACGCCGCGUGAGUGAUGAAGGUCUUCGGAUCGUAAAACUCUGUUAUUAGGGAAGAACAAAUGUGUAAGUAACUAUGCACGUCUUGACGGUACCUAAUCGGAAAGCCAGGGCUAACUACGUG